rnacentral:rRNA from 1 species
UACAGAGGGGGCGAGCGUUGUUCGGAAUUACUGGGCGUAAAGGGCGCGUAGGCGGCGGCGUAAGUUGGAAGUGAAAUCCCAUCGGCUCAACCGUGGAAUCGCUCCCAGUACUGCGUCGCUCGAGGGGGAUAGGGGUCUGCGGAACUACCGGUGGAGCGGUGAAAUGUGUUGAUAUCGGUGGGAACGCCAGUGGCGAAAGCGGCAGACUUGACCCUUCCUGACGCUGAGUGCGCGAAAGCUAGGGGAGCAAACGGG